UUUAUUUAUUUAUUUAUUUUACAUUUCACAGAAAUACACAAAGCAUAUUGCCAUGAAACGGAGUUUUCGGUUGAUGCUCGUGGAGUCGUAAGAAACCUGCUUGAGGUUGCAAAGGGAUCUGGUACGUAGUAAAUUCUAGACUCGGUGGAUAUGUAUGGUUUUAUGGAAUGAUAGUCGAUAGUCAUAAUGUUUUUGUUUUUCCUUAAAUCUUCGAUCCUUGCAGACACUGGAAAUGAACGAAAGCUGAUGGCUUCCAUGGGAAAAGGAAACAAAUGGGGAGUGCUCAGCUUCUUUUUCCCGUGAAAAGCCUUGUUAUUUGCAAGAAGAAAAGUGGUAAGCGGUCCCUUAUGUGGCUGAUAAAUUCCCUGCCACCACUGGAUUGAAUUUCCAGGCCUGCUGCGUACCAAAUGCUUGGUUUGCAGAUGCCGGGCGAAGCACGAGAGGAUGAUACCACGCACUGUUCUGAUACUGAUUGUCGUUCUGCAGAGCCCACUGCAAGUUGGUUCCAUCCAGAUUGAUCGCGAGAUAGUCCGUUUUUGAAGCCUG
rnacentral:lncRNA from 1 species